CACGUAGGGGGCAAGCGUUGUCCGGAUUUAUUGGGCGUAAAGAGCUCGUAGGCGGUUCGGUAAGUCGGGUGUGAAACCUCCAGGCUCAACCUGGAGACGCCACCCGAUACUGCUGUGACUAGAGUCCGGUAGGGGAGCGUGGAAUUCCUGGUGUAGCGGUGAAAUGCGCAGAUAUCAGGAGGAACACCAGCGGCGAAGGCGCUGCUCUGGGCCGGUACUGACGCUGAGGAGCGAAAGCAUGGGGAGCGAACAGG
rnacentral:rRNA from 1 species